AUAGUCUAUUAAAAAAAAAAAAAAAAAGACAAACUGUACAAGUUAACUGUACAAAGAAAAACUAAAAAAAAAAUAAUCACACUUUAAUAGAGCUGUUUUAAACCAUCAUGAGAUCUGAUGUGGUUAAUGUCAGCGAUGACAGCUUACUGUCCUGGCUUCAGCAGACAGAGUUCAUCUUCUCCACAGUGUUUGGUACAAUGUUACGUUUAGGAGAAAAACAGCGCUGAUAACAUCCCAAUGCUUUAGCUGUUGCUGAGCAGCGCUGCACAGAGCCAAGGAGGUUUCAGCUUUCCAGCUGCUCCUUCUGCCCUGCUAGCCAGGGGGCUGGAGAGCACGAGGUGCUGGGAGGGACAGAAGCAGGAGAGCUGACCUAAAGCAGCCAAAGGGAUAUUUCAUGAAAAACGGCAUCAUGUGAAACCAGAAAACUGAGACUGGAGUGGCAGCCACAGCCACUGCUCCGGGCACCAGACAGCAGGUGUUCUUUCCUCCAACUCCGUGGGAGAAGAGGCAGUGAGCAAAGAGGUCGGAGCUGAGCUGCUGCUGGGUGCCCACACAGCACCAAGCCCCAGCACAGGCCAAACAUCCCGCAGCACCCAACGUGAGCUGUCAGAAAACAGCUCGAGCCAAACAGCAAGGUGCUGUUCACUGAAUACAGCAAAAGCGGGGUGGCUCAGAGCACACCUCCAGCACAGCACCAUGCAGAAGGUGCAGCAGCACAGCCCCUCACAUCUAGCACCUGAAUCCUCGCCAUCCAUGGCACCAAGCACAGCUUUCUAACUAGAAAUCCCAAGCGAGUUUUUAAUCAAAACAGAUCACUGUGAUUUGAAAAAAAUGAUAAGGAUGGUUUAGCUUCAUUUGCUCCUAAAAGCUGAGUGAGGGACUUGAAGAGUCACACAGAGAUGGAACCAACAGCUGUAGCAUUAUACCACAAAUGCACUCUCAAAUUCUACAUCACCAGGUUUUAGAAGAAAACGAGGAAGACCUCUUCACUCACAGCAAAAUAAAAAAUGAAAAAUAAUAAAAAAAAAA